rnacentral:rRNA from 1 species
GUGGCGAUCACGGGUACGGGGAAUUAGGGUUCGAUUCCGGAGAGGGAGCCUGAGAAACAGCUACCACUUCUACGGAGGGCAGCAGGCGCGUAAAUUGCCCAAUGCCAAAUUUGGUGAGGCAGCGAAGAGAAAUAGCGACCCAGACCUUCGGGUUUGGGAUCGAAAUGGGUGGUAUUUAAAUCCACCAACGAGUAACAAUUGGAGGACAAGUCUGGUGCCAGCACCCGCGGUAAUUCCAGCUCCAAUAGCGUAUAUUAAUGUUGUUGCUGUUAAAGGGUUCGUAGUUGAAUGCAGGGUUUGGGAGUUGUGUGGCCCUGCGGCCAUCACGUCAUCCCAUCCCUGUCGUUUAGACGGGAUCGACUGCCUUGCUGAGGUGGCGCCUUCAUUGGUGUCCCCAAAGCUGUUGAGUGAAGAGCUCAACGUACGCGUAACCACACGCUACAGGCCGCCCGUCGUUAUCACUGUGAAGAAAACAGCGUGUUCAAGGCAACCGCCUAGCGGUUGAAUGGCAAAGCAUGGAAUGACAAAGCAUCGACCAAUGGGUCUGGCUUUUGUUGGUUUUUACAACCCAUUUGGACAUCUCAUGUCUGGUUGGUCGUAUUCCCUUCGGGGUUGCGACCCCAGGCAGACACGGGAUUAAUGGGGGUUGUCGGGGGAAAACGUAUCUGAGCGAGAGAGGUGAAAUUCUUAGACCGCUCGGGGACGAACUUAUGCGAAGGCAUUUUCCAAGUAUACCUUCAUCAAUCAAGAACUAAAGUGUGGAGAUCGAAGAUGAUUAGAUACCAUUGUAGUCCACGACUGCAAACGAUGACGCCCAUGGAUCGGAAGUGAAUACUCACCCUCCGAGAUGGGAUUUUUUCGGCGCUGCUCUACCCUAUUAACGCGAAAGCUGAGGCUAUGGUCUCAUGGGGGAGUACGUUCGCAAGGCUGAAACUUAAAGAAAUUGACGGAAUGGCACCACCAGGCGUGGAGUGUGCGGUUUAAUUUGACUCAACACGGGGAACCUUACCAGUACAGGAAAACGCAAGGAUUGACAGAUUGAUAGUUCUUUCUUGAUUCGUUUGACGGUGGUGCAUGGCCGCUUUUGGUCGGUGAAGUGAUUUGUUUGGUUGAUUCCUUUAACGGACGAGACCCAAACCGCUUAAUAGGGGCACCAUCUGCUUUCGGGCAUGCGGAGCUAUAGUCUGGCCUCACGGUUGGCUGUAGCUUCAGAUGGUGAUACUCCUUCUUCGCGGCAUUCCCUGCUCUUUAGCUGGGUGGAAUUUUGGGCAACAGCAGGUCCGUGAUGCUCCUAAAUGUACUGGGCGACACGCGCACUACAAUGACAAAGUGAAUGAGUGAAACCUUUUGGUCCUGCCUCGAAAAGGGGUGGGUAAACUGGAAAAACUAUGUCGUGCUAGGGAUCGAAGCUUGCAAUUAUUCUUCGUGAACGAGGAAUGCCUAGUAGAUGUGCUUCAUCAAAGC